GUCCCUGUAGCGCAAUGGAUAGCGCUUUGGGCUUCUGAUCCAAAGGUUGUGGUUUCGAAUUCCACCUGGGAUG
rnacentral:tRNA from 1 species